GGGUGCGAUCAUACCAGCACUAAUGCACUGGAUCCCAUCAGAACUCCGCAGUUAAGCGUGCUUGGGCGAGAGUAGUACUAGGACGGGUGACCUCCCGGUAAGUCCUCGUGUUGCACGCC
rnacentral:rRNA from 1 species